UCUCUUAAAGCCGUUCUCAGUUCGGAUUGUAGGCUGCAACUCGCCUACAUGAAGUCGGAAUCGCUAGUAAUCGCGGAUCAGCAUGCCGCGGUGAAUACGUUCCCGGGCCUUGUACACACCGCCCGUCACACCAUGGGAGCCGGAAAUGCCCGAAGCCAGUGACCCAACCUUAGGGAGGGAGCUGUCGAAGGUGGAGCCGGUAACUGGGGUGAAGUCGUAACAAGGUACC
rnacentral:rRNA from 1 species